rnacentral:rRNA from 1 species
UACGUAGGGACCAAGCGUUGUUCGGAUUUACUGGGCGUAAAGGGCGCGUAGGCGGCUUAACAAGUCACUUGUGAAAUCUCCGGGCUUAACUCGGAACGGCCAAGUGAAACUGUCAAGCUAGAGUGCAGAAGGGGCAAUCGGAAUUCUUGGUGUAGCGGUGAAUGACGUAGAUAUCAAGAGGAACACCUGAGGUGAAGACGGGUUGCUGGGCUGACACUGACGCUGAGGCGCGAAAGCCAGGGGAGCAAACGGG